GGUGUUAUAUCUUUGCUUAGUUGAUGUAACUGAAUGGUGUAAUUUAGAUUUGAUAUUAACACUGCGUUCGCUUAGUUCGCUUUUAUGAAAACAGGGUUAACCUUCGUUUAGUUGGUUAACUUUGUUGGAUUAGAGGUUUGAGUCAUAACUUUAUUUUGUUGAUUUGUGACUGGAAACAUUGUAAUUAAGUUAAUGACCAACCAUUUUUAUUCUGUAUGUGAUUUUGUUUUGCAAUUCUAUUUUUACAUUUCUGUUUGCAUCCUUCCUUUGAUUUAAUUCGUCCACAUUCACAAACUUUUCACACCCCCCCCCACUUCGUGUUUGACCUAAGACUUGUAC
rnacentral:lncRNA from 1 species